GUGCCAGCAGCCGCGGUAAUACGUAGGGGGCAAGCGUUGUCCGGAAUUAUUGGGCGUAAAGCGCGCGCAGGCGGUCCUUUAAGUCUGAUGUGAAAUCCCACGGCUUAACCGUGGAGGGUCAUUGGAAACUGAGGGACUUGAGUACAGAAGAGGAGAGUGGAAUUCCACGUGUAGUGGUGAAAUACGUAGAUAUGUGGAGGAACACCAGUGGCGAAGGCGACUCUCUGGUCUGUAACUGACGCUGAGGAGCGAAAGCAUGGGGAGCAAACAGGAUUAGAUACCCUGGUAGUCC
rnacentral:rRNA from 1 species